rnacentral:rRNA from 1 species
GGGAUAGUGGCGGACGGGUGAGUAACGCGUGAGAAUCUGCCCUCAGGAGGGGGAUAACGGCUGGAAACGGCCGCUAAUACCCCAUAUGCCGAGAGGUGAAACGAAUUUCGCCUGAGGAUGAGCCCGCGUCUGAUUAGCUAGUUGGUGGGGUAAUGGCCCACCAAGGCGACGAUCAGUAGCUGGUCUGAGAGGAUGAUCAGCCACACUGGGACUGAGACACGGCCCAGACUCCUACGGGAGGCAGCAGUGGGGAAUUUUCCGCAAUGGGCGAAAGCCUGACGGAGCAACGCCGCGUGAGGGAUGAAGGCCUCUGGGCUGUAAACCUCUUUUCUCAAGGAAGAAGACCUGACGGUACUUGAGGAAUAAGCCACGGCUAAUUCCGUGCCAGCAGCCGCGGUAAUACGGGAGUGGCAAGCGUUAUCCGGAAUUAUUGGGCGUAAAGCGUCCGCAGGCGGCCUUGUAAGUCUGUUGUUAAAGCGUGGAGCUUAACUCCAUUUAAGCAAUGGAAACUACAAGGCUGGAGUGUGGUAGGGGCAGAGGGAAUUCCCGGUGUAGCGGUGAAAUGCGUAGAUAUCGGGAAGAACACCAGUGGCGAAGGCGCUCUGCUGGGCCAUAACUGACGCUCAUGGACGGAAGCCAGGGGAGCGAAAGGGAUUAGAUACCCCUGUAGUCCUGGCCGUAAACGAUGAACACUAAGUGUCGGGGGAAUCGACCCCCUCGGUGUCGUAGCCAACGCGUUAAGUGUUCCGCCUGGGGAGUACGCACGCAAGUGUGAAACUCAAAGGAAUUGACGGGGGCCCGCACAAGCGGUGGAGUAUGUGGUUUAAUUCGAUGCAACGCGAAGAACCUUACCAGGGUUUGACAUCCUGCGAACCCCUGAGAAAUCGGGGGGUGCCUUCGGGAGCGCAGAGACAGGUGGUGCAUGGCUGUCGUCAGCUCGUGUCGUGAGAUGUUGGGUUAAGUCCCGCAACGAGCGCAACCCACGUCUUUAGUUGCCAGCAUUCAGUUGGGCACUCUAGAGAGACCGCCGGUGAUAAACCGGAGGAAGGUGUGGAUGACGUCAAGUCAUCAUGCCCCUUACAUCCUGGGCUACACACGUACUACAAUGCUACGGACAAAGGGCAGCAAGCUCGCGAGAGUUAGCAAAUCCCAUAAACCGUGGCUCAGUUCAGAUCGUAGGCUGCAACUCGCCUACGUGAAGGAGGAAUCGCUAGUAAUCGCAGGUCGGCAUACUGCGGUGAAUACGUUCCCGGGCCUUGUACACACCGCCCGUCACACCAUGGAAGUUGGCCAUGCCCGAAGUCGUUACUCCAACCCUUGUGGAGGAGGACGCCGAAGGUGGGGCUGAUGACUGGGGUGAAGUCGUAACAAGGUA